AGGAAGUCAGCCAUUGUGACGAUGUAGUAGUGUACUUCCGUAAAAACUGAAGUCCCAUGUUGCGGCGAGUGUUGGCACGAUAGGAAAUCGUUUCCCUCGGGUCAUACGGCCUCUGCCUGGUAUGGAAUGACGUUCCUGGCAAUUUACAUACAUCUACGUAUCUCACGUCGAUGGAGAAGGUUGCGUCUAUUCUGUGCUUUGGUACAGAUGUUGGUGCUUUGCUUUGCUUUGUAUGCCGGAGUGAGUCGUUUCCAGGACAACGCUCAUCGUCCAAUAGACAUCUCUGCUGGUGCAGUAAUAGGAAUCAUCUUUGCCCUGACAACGGUCUUUUCAACUCCUAUAUUGUUCAAGGAUAUACGAACAUUAAUUUAUGCACAUGGUCAAAAUGGAACAACAGAGUAUAUCGGAGAAAGAGCCGUAACUCUGUCACACCCAGUCAAUAAGAUGGAGCUGUAAAGGUAUCGCACAUCGGUCAAAGUCGAUCUCGACAUUUUCUCCAAAAUGAACGCGCUGCACCACCUUUCAUAAGAAGAUAAAGACGUAGAAGAAAAAUAAAAUAUAUGAACUUA